rnacentral:piRNA from 1 species
GGCAGCUGCUGCCUCACAAUGGUCUC